rnacentral:rRNA from 1 species
AUUGAACGCUGGCGGCAGGCUUAACACAUGCAAGUCGAGCGGAGUGAUGGUGCUUGCACUAUCACUUAGCGGCGGACGGGUGAGUAAUGCUUAGGAAUCUGCCAUUUAGUGGGGGACAACAUUCCGAAAGGAAUGCUAAUACCGCAUGCGUCCUACGGGAGAAAGCAGGGGAUCUUCGGACCUUGCGCUAAAUGAUGAGCCUAAGUCGGAUUAGCUAGGUGGUGGGGUAAAGGCCUACCAAGGCGACGAUCUGUAGCGGGUCCGAGAGGAUGGGCCGCCACACUGGGACUGAGACACGGCCCAGACUCCUACGGGAGGCAGCAGUGGGGAAUAUUGGACAAUGGGAGCAAGCCUUAUCCAGCCAUGCCGCGUGUGUGAAGAAGGCCUUAUGGUUGUAAAGCACUUUAAGCGAGGAGGAGGCUACUUUAGAUAAUACCUAGAGAUAGUGGACGUUACUCGCAGAAUAAGCACCGGCUAACUCUGUGCCAGCCGCCGCCGUAAAAC